rnacentral:rRNA from 1 species
CUUGGUCAUUUAGAGGAAGUAAAAGUCGUAACAAGGUCUCCGUAGGUGAACCUGCGGAGGGAUCAUUACCGAGUUCAUGCCCACACGGGUAGAUCUCCCACCCUAUGUUAUCAUUACCUUUGUUGCUUUGGCGGGCCGCCAGGCUUCGGUCAGGCUACCGGCCCCGGCUGGUACGCGCCCGCCAGAGGACCCCAAACUCUGAAUGUUAGUGUCGUCUGAGUACUAUCUAAUAGUUAAAACUUUCAACAACGGAUCUCUUGGUUCUGGCAUCGAUGAAGAACGCAGCGAAAUGCGAUAAGUAAUGUGAAUUGCAGAAUUCAGUGAAUCAUCGAAUCUUUGAACGCACAUUGCGCCCCUUGGCAUUCCGAGGGGCAUGCCUGUUCGAGCGUCAUUACAACCCUCAAGCACUGCUUGGCAUUGGGCUCCGCUGCUAACCCAGCGGGCCUUAAAAUCAGUGGCGGCGCCCUCAGGCUCUGAGCGUAGUAAAUCUCCUCGCUAUAGAGUCCUGGUGGUGGUAGUCAUCAACCCCCAACUUUUCUAAGUUUGACCUCGGAUCAGGUAGGGAUACCCGCUGAACUUAAGCAUAUCAAUAAGCGGAGGA